GUAUUUUUCAUAAUGCGAUUUCAGAUUCAGACUGAAGUUUAUUCGUGUUACUUGCUGCUAUUGAUCUGAUCUCCGGAUCUAAGGUAAGUAUGGUUUAUUGCGAUUCAUUCUGGUAUGUUUCUUAUCUUACAUGUUAUGCUAUUAUAUAUAGUGCCUAAAAUGGAAAUGAAAUGUGAAUAUCCAGACCGGUAAAAUACAGGCAACAUCACCUGGUUGGUAACUUUAUCAAGUAAUUGUAGUAUUCCCAUUUAGAAUAUCCACUGAAGACAAUAGGAAUUGAAUAAAAGCAUCUGUAGAUCAACGUACAAACUUCAACAAUGUAAACUAUAAUAGGAAUGUGUAAAAAAAAAUGCUCAAGCGUGACAUUUAUAUCACAGUAAAUUUUUACCUUAAAAAUAUAUAAAUGUGAAAUAAUUACAGGAACAAAUUAAGAUCACAUACGCACAGCUGUUAAUAUUGAAAUUAUCAAUUUGCCCCACCUUAGGCAGCAACCAUUUGAUUUUUCUGGGGGGGGCUAUGGUUUUUUUUUCUGUACAAACUUUUUUUUUCGCCUGCGGCGAAAAACAAUCUAUUUUUUUCGCCACAAGUCAAAACAAUUUUUUUUCUUUCAAUUUUAGCAUUACAUAUAGUGGCAGCUGAGGGUGAAACAAACAAUUUUUUUUCUCAGAAUCAAAAACAAAUUAUUUUUUUUCUCCAAAAACUGGAAACAAACUUUUUUUUCCAAAAAAAACCAUAGCCCCCCCAGAAAAUCAUAUGGUUGCUGCCUUAGUAGCAAUAUACCAACUUCACCUGCAUAUGGGAUAUACAUUUCCCAACUCAUUAGGUAUUCAAGAUCUUCCAGCUGCUACUAAACGUUGUUAAACGUCACCAGUCUCUGAGUAGAAAGUUGAUGAACCAGCGAUAUGUCAAAGAACGUCUCAUCCAUUUUCAAAGUUUUUGGUAGAUAUCAAGACCUUGUUGAUAAAUUUUCCGUAUCAACUUUACAAAUAAUACACGAGGGUCUUAAAGUUUAUAUUCUGUGUACUGUUGUUGUUUAUCAUCUUAAUGACGUGUUAUAGUAUUCUUUUACUUUUCUGUGGCUGUGCAAAUUAUUACUUUUACUGUUUAUAGAUAUAGGAAGAUGUGGUGUGAGUGCCAAUGAGACAACCCUCCAUCCAAAUAACAAUGUUAAAAAAGUAAACCAUUAUAGGUCAAUGUACGGCCUUCAACACGGAGUCUUGGCUCACACCGAACAACAAGCUAUAAAGGGCCCCAAAAUUACUAGUGUAAAACCAUUCAAACGGGAAAACCAUCGGGUUAAUCUAUAUAAUAAAAUUGAGAAUGGAAAAACAAGAACUAUUUUUAAAAAAGAUAUCCGACGUAUUUAAUUUGAGUAUAUUUAAAACGAUCAUUUCGAUUAACCUUCAGAAGCACAAAGAUCCAUCUAAAUAACGUUUUCUCGUUUGUGUUCAGUAUUCUCGGUCCUCGUAUCUUUCUGUUUACAUUCACUAAAACCCCGCGGAAAUCUCACAUGCGUAGGUGCGUUCUAAAAGUCA
rnacentral:lncRNA from 1 species